rnacentral:rRNA from 1 species
CUCCAGACUCCUACGGGAGGCAGCAGUGAGGAAUAUUGGUCAAUGGCCGAGAGGCUGUACCAGCCAAGUCGCGUGAGGGAAGAAUGUCCUAAGGAUUGUAAACCUCUUUUGUCGGGGAGCAAAAAGGCUCUGCGGAGUCGUAUUGAGAGUACCCGAAGAAAAAGCAUCGGCUAACUCCGUGCCAGCAGCCGCGGUAAUACGGAGGAUGCGAGCGUUAUCCGGAUUUAUUGGGUUUAAAGGGUGCGCAGGCGGCGUGUCAAGCAAGCGGUAAAAUGGGGGGGCUCAACCCCGUCGAGCCGUUGAAACUGGGUGCCUUGAGUGGGCGAGAAGUACGCGGAAUGCGUGGUGUAGCGGUGAAAUGCAUAGAUAUCACGCAGAACUCCGAUUGCGAAGGCAGCGUACCGGCGCCCAACUGACGCUGAAGCACGAAGGCGUGGGUAUCGAACAGGAUUAGAUACCCUUGUA